rnacentral:rRNA from 1 species
GUGGGGAAUAUUGGACAAUGGGCGAAAGCCUGAUCCAGCGACGCCGCGUGAGUGAUGAAGGCCUUCGGGUUGUAAAGCUCUGUUGAGGGAGAAGAAAACAGUUAGGACGAAUAGCCCUAGCUCUUGACGGUAUCCCUUUAGAAAGCACCGGCUAACUCUGUGCCAGCAGCCGCGGUAAGACAGAGGGUGCAAACGUUGCUCGGAAUUACUGGGCGUAAAGCGCGUGUAGGCGGGCUUGUAAGUUGGACGUGAAAGCCCUGGGCUCAACCCAGGAAUUGCAUCCAAAACUACAAGUCUAGAGUGAUGGAGAGGGUCGCAGAAUUCCUGGUGUAGAGGUGAAAUUCGUAGAUAUCAGGAGGAACACCGGUGGCGAAGGCGGCGACCUGGACAUUAACUGACGCUGAGACGCGAAAGCGUGGGGAGCAAACAGGAUUAGAAACCCUUGUAGUCC